rnacentral:rRNA from 1 species
UACGAAGGUGGCAAGCGUUGUUCGGAUUUACUGGGCGUACAGGGAGCGUAGGCGGUUGGAUAAGCCCUCCGUGAAAUCUCCAGGCUUAACCCUGGAAAGUGCAGAGGGGACUGUUCAGCUAGAGGAUGGGAGAGGAGCGCGGAAUUCCUGGUGUAGCGGUGAAAUGCGUAGAGAUCGGGAGGAAGGCCGGUGGCGAAGGCGGCGCUCUGGAACAUUUCUGACGCUGAGGCUCGAAAGCGUGGGGAGGCAAACAGG